rnacentral:rRNA from 1 species
GCCAGACUCCUACGGGAGGCAGCAGUGGGGAAUAUUGCACAAUGGGGGAAACCCUGAUGCAGCGACGCCGCGUGAGUGAAGAAGUAUUUCGGUAUGUAAAGCUCUGUCAGCAGGAAAGAAAAUGACGGUACCUGACUAAGAAGCCCCGGCUAACUACGCGCCAGCAGCCGCGGUAAUACGUAGGGGGCAAGCGUUAUCCGGAAUUAUUGGGUGUAAAGGGUGCGUAGACGGGAUAACAAGUUGGUUGUGAAACCCCUCGGCUCAACUGAGGAACUGCAACCAAAACUAUUAUUCUUGAGUGCAGGAGAGGAAAGUGGAAUUCCUAGUGUAGCGGUGAAAUGCGUAGAUAUUAGGAAGAACACCGGUGGCGAAGGCGACUUUCUGGGCUGUAACUGACGUUGAGGCACGAAAGUGUGGGGAGCAAACAGGAUUAGAUACCCCAGUA